AGUGAACGCUGGCGGUAGGCCUAACACAUGCAAGUCGAACGGCAGCACAGUAAGAGCUUGCUCUUACGGGUGGCGAGUGGCGGACGGGUGAGGAAUACAUCGGAAUCUACUUUUUCGUGGGGGAUAACGUAGGGAAACUUACGCUAAUACCGCAUACGACCUACGGGUGAAAGCAGGGGAUCUUCGGACCUUGCGCGAUUGAAUGAGCCGAUGUCGGAUUAGCUAGUUGGCGGGGUAAAGGCCCACCAAGGCGACGAUCCGUAGCUGGUCUGAGAGGAUGAGCAGACACAAUGGAAUUGAAAGAAGAUCCAGACUAAAACGGAAACCAGCAGUGGGGAAGUUUGGACAAUGGGCGCAGGCUUGAUCCAGCCAUACGGGGGGGACGAAGAGGGCCUUCGGGUUGGAAAGCCCUUGUGUUGCGAAAGAAAAGCAGCAGGUGAAUAACCCGCUGUUCGGACGGUACCCAAAGAAUAAGCACCGGCUAAGUUCGUG
rnacentral:rRNA from 1 species